rnacentral:rRNA from 1 species
GACGAACGCUGGCGGCGUGCUUAACACAUGCAAGUCGAACGGAAAGGCCCUGCUUGCAGGGUACUCGAGUGGCGAACGGGUGAGUAACACGUGGGUGAUCUGCCCUGCACUUCGGGAUAAGCCUGGGAAACUGGGUCUAAUACCGGAUAGGAGCCAUUUUUAGUGUGAUGGUUGGAAAGUUUUUUCGGUGUAGGAUGAGCUCGCGGCCUAUCAGCUUGUUGGUGGGGUAAUGGCCUACCAAGGCGGCGACGGGUAGCCGGCCUGAGAGGGUGGACGGCCACAUUGGGACUGAGGUACGGCCCAGACUCCUACGGGAGGGAGCAGUGGGGAAUAUUGCACAAUGGGCGCAAGCCUGAUGCAGCGACGCCGCGGGGGGGAUGACGGCCUUCGGGUUGUAAACUCCUUACGCUAGGGACGAAGCUUUUUGUGACGGUACCUAGAGAAGAAGCACCGGCUAACUACGUG